rnacentral:misc_RNA from 1 species
UCACGUCUUGCGACGGCAGUUUCACUAGAGUUCCCAGCAUUACCUGAUGGUAACUAGUGAUGGGGGUUGCGCUCGUUGCGGGACUUAACCCAACAUCUCACGACACGAGCUGACGACGGCCAUGCAGCACCUGUGUGGGAGCCAGCCGAACUGAAGGAUUCCGUUUCCGGAAUCCAUACUCCCCAUGUCAAGGGCUGGUAAGGUUCUUCGCGUUGCGUCGAAUUAAACCACAUGCUCCACCGCUUGUGCGGGCCCCCGUCAAUUCCUUUGAGUUUUAACCUUGCGGCCGUACUCCCCAGGCGGGGUGCUUCACGCGUUAGCUACGACACUGGGGGGCAAGCCCCCCAACGUCUAGCACCCAUCGUUUACGGCGUGGACUAC